UGAGGGAAAGGCGAAAAGAACCCCGGCGAGGGGAGUGAAAAAGAACCUGAAACCGUGUACGUACAAGCAGUGGGAGCACAGGUUUACCUGUGUGACUGCGUACCUUUUGUAUAAUGGGUCAGCGACUUAUAUUCUGUAGCAAGGUUAACCGAAUAGGGGAGCCGGAGGGAAACCGAGUCUUAAUUGGGCGUUAAGUUGCAGGGUAUAGACCCGAAACCCGGUGAUCUAGCCAUGGGCAGGUUGAAGGUUGGGUAACACUAACUGGAGGACCGAACCGACUAAUGUUGAAAAAUUAGCGGAUGACCUGUGGCUGGGGGUGAAAGGCCAAUCAAACCGGGAGAUAGCUGGUUCUCCCCGAAAGCUAUUUAGGUAGCGCCUCGUGAAUUCAUCUCCGGGGGUAGAGCACUGUUUCGGCUAGGGGGCCAUCCCGGCUUACCAACCCGAUGCAAACUGCGAAUACCGGAGAAUGUUAUCACGGGAGACACACGGCGGGUGCUAACGUCCGUCGUGAAGAGGGAAACAACCCAGACCGCCAGCUAAGGUCCCAAAGUCAUGGUUAAGUGGGAAACGAUGUGGGAAGGCCCAGACAGCCAGGAUGUUGGCUUAGAAGCAGCCAUCAUUUAAAGAAAGCGUAAUAGCUCACUGGUCGAGUCGGCCUGCGCGGAAGAUGUAACGGGGCUAAACCAUGCACCGAAGCUGCGGCAGCGACGCUUAUGCGUUGUUGGGUAGGGGAGCGUUCUGUAAGCCUGUGAAGGUGGCCUGUGAGGGUUGCUGGAGGUAUCAGAAGUGCGAAUGCUGACAUAAGUAACGAUAAAGCGGGUGAAAAGCCCGCUCGCCGGAAGACCAAGGGUUCCUGUCCAACGUUAAUCGGGGCAGGGUGAGUCGACCCCUAAGGCGAGGCCGAAAGGCGUAGUCGAUGGGAAACGGGUUAAUAUUCCCGUACUUGGUGUUACUGCGAAGGGGGGACGGAGAAGGCU
rnacentral:rRNA from 1 species